rnacentral:rRNA from 1 species
GACGAACGCUGGCGGCGUGCCUAAUACAUGCAAGUUGAGCGCUGAAGGUUGGUACUUGUACCAACUGGAUGAGCAGCGAACGGGUGAGUAACGCGUGGGGAAUCUGCCUUUGAGCGGGGGACAACAUUUGGAAACGAAUGCUAAUACCGCAUAAAAACUUUAAACACAAGUUUUAAGUUUGAAAGAUGCAAUUGCAUCACUCAAAGAUGAUCCCGCGUUGUAUUAGCUAGUUGGUGAGGUAAAGGCUAACCAAGGCGAUGAUACAUAGCCGACCUGAGAGGGUGAUCGGCCACAUUGGGACUGAGACACGGCCCAAACUCCUACGGGAGGCAGCAGUAGGGAAUCUUCGGCAAUGGACGAAAGUCUGACCGAGCAACGCCGCGUGAGUGAAGAAGGUUUUCGGAUCGUAAAGCUCUGUUGGUAGAGAAGAACGUUGGUGAGAGUGGAAAGCUCAUCAAGUGACGGUAACUACCCAGAAAGGGACGGCUAACUACGUG